rnacentral:rRNA from 1 species
GCUCAACGCGUGCCUAAUACAUGCAAGUCGAGCGAACAGACGAGGAGCUUGCUCCUCUGACGUUAGCGGCGGACGGGUGAGUAACACGUGGAUAACCUACCUAUAAGACUGGGAUAACUUCGGGAAACCGGAGCUAAUACCGGAUAACAUGUUGAACCGCAUGGUUCAACAGUGAAAGACGGUCUUGCUGUCACUUAUAGAUGGAUCCGCGCCGCAUUAGCUAGUUGGUAAGGUAACGGCUUACCAAGGCAACGAUGCGUAGCCGACCUGAGAGGGUGAUCGGCCACACUGGAACUGAGACACGGUCCAGACUCCUACGGGAGGCAGCAGUAGGGAAUCUUCCGCAAUGGGCGAAAGCCUGACGGAGCAACGCCGCGUGAGUGAUGAAGGUCUUCGGAUCGUAAAACUCUGUUAUUAGGGAAGAACAAAUGUGUAAGUAACUAUGCACGUCUUGACGGUACCUAAUCAGAAAGCCACGGCUAACUACGUGCCAGCAGCCGCGGUAAUACGUAGGUGGCAAGCGUUAUCCGGAAUUAUUGGGCGUAAAGCGCGCGUAGGCGGUUUUUUAAGUCUGAUGUGAAAGCCCACGGCUCAACCGUGGAGGGUCAUUGGAAACUGGAAAACUUGAGUGCAGAAGAGGAAAGUGGAAUUCCAUGUGUAGCGGUGAAAUGCGCAGAGAUAUGGAGGAACACCAGUGGCGAAGGCGACUUUCUGGUCUGUAACUGACGCUGAUGUGCGAAAGCGUGGGGAUCAAACAGGAUUAGAUACCCUGGUAGUCCACGCCGUAAACGAUGAGUGCUAAGUGUUAGGGGGUUUCCGCCCCUUAGUGCUGCAGCUAACGCAUUAAGCACUCCGCCUGGGGAGUACGACCGCAAGGUUGAAA